rnacentral:rRNA from 1 species
UACAGAGGGGGCAAGCGUUGUUCGGAAUUACUGGGCGUAAAGGGCGCGUAGGCGGCCCGCUAAGUCGAACGUGAAAUCCCCGAGCUCAACUCGGGAACUGCGUCCGAUACUGGUGGGCUUGAAUCCGGGAGAGGGAUGCGGAAUUCCAGGUGUAGCGGUGAAAUGCGUAGAUAUCAGGAGGAACACCGGUGGCGAAGGCGCACAUCUGGCCCGAUACUGACGCUGAGGCGCGAAAGCUAGGGGAGCAAACGGG